rnacentral:lncRNA from 1 species
UGGCCUUGACCCCUUUGCUCAUCACUCUUUCCUCUCUGCAAGUGGAUUCCAGAGUUCAGUUCAGUGAUUAGCUGUGUCUGCGUCUGCUUCCAUCAGCUACUGGAUGAAGGCACUAGGAUGGCAUAUAAGGAAGCUGCCUUUGAAAUCAACAAACAAAUCGAAACAUUUCAUUCCCUGGCAAAGAUCUCAAUAGGAUUGUGGCAGAACUCAGAGCAGGAGCUACCAAUCUAUCAUCCCGGAGUCCUGCCUGAUGAGUAGGGCCAGUUGCCCUGUCCAGAGUUCAGAAGAAAGAACUGCAACAAAUUACAAGUGGGUUGGCAGAGGUGAGGAGGGCUGCAGGAUAGACUCCAUCAAAGAGCUCCACAACUGCAGGAAGACCCAGGCAAGCCAAGAAUGGGGCAGAAGGAAGACAGGACAAGUUCCAUUCCUGGGUCUCAACAGGUCUGACAGCUUCUCUGCUUGUUGUGAUAGAAACUCUGCUGUCGCCCUGGAAACAAGCCAGGCCAGUGUGUCUGAAGAUGAGG